ensembl:lncRNA
UUUGUAUAUUAACCCUGUUUAACUUUCCCACAGAGGAAUUUGCUAACAAUUGUUUUUAUUUGUUAGGAAUACCUAUGAAUGUCCCUCCUCCUGGUUUCCCUCCUCCCAGCGGCCCCCCUCCCUCUCUCAUCCCCACCUUGGACAGCAGUGGGCAUCCAGGUGGAUAUGAUGUUCGUCCCGUUCCACCAUACCCCUUCCCCACAGGUGGUUUCCCUCCUCCUAUGACAGGUAUGUCCUCAUCACUACAGUAUAUCCUUCUCCUCCUCACUACAGUAUAUCACUACAGUAUGUCCUCAUCACUACAGUAUAUCCUCAACACAACAGUAUAUCACUACAGUAUAUCCUCCUCCUCCUCACUACAGUAUAUCACUACAUUAUAUCACUACAGUAUAUCCUCCUCACUACAGUAUAUCACUACAGUAUAUCCUCCUCAUCACUACAGUAUAUCACUACAGUAUAUCCUCCUCAUCACUACAGUAUAUCCUCCUCAUCACUACAGUAUAUCACUACAGUAUAUCACUACAGUAUAUCCUCCUCCUCCUCACUACAGUAUAUCACUACAGUAUAUCCUCAUCACGACAGUAUAUCAUUACAGUAUAUUCUCCUCCUCCUCACUACAGUAUAUCACUACAGUAUAUCACUACAGUAUAUCACUACAGUAUUUCUUCCUCCUCACUACAGUAUAUCACUACAGUAUAUCACUACAGUAUAUCACUACAGUAUAUCCUCCUCCUCCUCCUCACUACAGUAUAUCGCUACAGUAUAUCACUACAGUAUAUCACUACAGUAUAUCCUCCUCACGACAGUAUAUCAUUACAGUAUAUUCUCCUCCUCCUCACUACAGUAUAUCACUACAGUAUAUCACUACAGUAUAUCACUACAGUAUAUCCUCCUCCUCACGACAGUAUAUCAUUACAGUAUAUUCUCCUCCUCCUCACUACAGUAUAUCACUACAGUAUAUCACUACAGUAUAUCCUUCUCCUCCUCACUACAGUAUAUCACUACAGUAUAUCACUACAGUAUAUCACUACAGUAUAUCCUCCUCCUCACUACAGUAUAUCACUACAGUAUAUCCUCAUCACUACAGUAUAUCACUACAGUAUAUCCUCCUCAUCACUACAGUAUAUCACUACAGUAUAUCACUACAGUAUAUCCUCCUCAUCACUACAGUAUAUCACUACAGUAUAUCACUACAGUAUAUCCUCCUCCUCACUACAGUACAUCCUCCUCCUCAUCACUACAGUAUAUCACUACAGUAUAUCACUACAGUACAUCCUCCUCCUCAUCACUACAGUAUAUCACUACAGUAUAUCCUCCUCAUCACUACUGUAUAUCACUACAGUAUAUCACUACAGUAUAUCCUCCUCCUCAUCACUACAGUAUAUCACUACAGUAUAUCCUCGUCCUCCUCACUACAGUAUAUCACUACAGUAUAUCACUACAGUAUAUCCUCGUCCUCCUCACUACAGUAUAUCACUACAGUAUAUCCUCCUCUUCCUCACAGUAUAUCACUACAGUAUAUCACUACAGUAUAUCCUCCUCCUCAUCACUACAGUAUAUCACUACAGUAA